rnacentral:lncRNA from 1 species
GUUUCUUCGGAGAGGGGAGUUUUUACUGCAUAAUCAGACUAAAAUCCUCCUGGAAUUGCUUGAAGCGGGAGUGCCGGGGGUGGGUACAGGGAAUCCUGGCCUGGGGAAUCAGGGCUGUGUCACUACAGGGCACGUGAAAGCACGACAGGAGCUGCUGCUACUGCAAAGGUGAAAAAGAGCAAGUUUAUUGUCUGACUCCAGCAUUUCCACUUUUCCAAAAGUGGAUUGGAGGGUGAAUGUGCCACCUCUCCAAUGACAUUGGACAAACUACCAGCACAUCAGAUUUCUCUGUCUCUAUGCAGGAAUGGUAAAUAAUAGAUUGUUUACAGAAAGUUGUGUGAGAAAGUUCUCUACAAGAACGUGAACUCAGAAGGCUUUAGAAAAUCUUAAGGAUCAGGGCAGCAGGGGUGCGAGGAGCAGCAGGCUGAGGGAGGCCCAGAAGUCACUCACAGGGUGCACACGGUGGUAUGGUAAAUGCUCCGUUUAUUUCAGCUUCUCAGGGACAUUUAUAGGCAUCCAGCAGUCAGCAUUAAGCAAGCACCUCAGCUUUACCCAUGAUUGUCUAAAACUCCUUGUUCACACGCCUCUUUCUGCCCUGUGGUUGGUUGGCAGCAUGUCCAGCCCAGCUUCCUCCCCACAGCUGCUCCACAGCUUCCUCUCCCCUCCGGGACACGGUGACCUCCACUCCAUGGACACCAACUACCCCUCAGAAGGGCCAUGACCACCCCCUGGCCUCCUGCCUCCAGAAAUUCCUCUACAGUUGCACAGUGAGAGGCCUGUGAAGUUUUGGGAAGGCUGCAGAUGGACACAGACCUGCAGCAGCACCAAGGCUUUUCCUCAUCUGUGGAGGAUUCCAGCACUGUGGCACCAGCCUGAGGAGUCCCCACGUGCAGAUCCCACCUGGAAUCUCCCCCCACCAGCUCUGCUGUCACCUCUGGCCACUGAUGGCUCUGAGCAGGCACCGUGGUCACUGAUGAAAGAAAUUCUGUCAGGACUUGUCCACCCAGUUCCUGUUGUAUUUCCUUCCCCUUUCCACUUGUUCCAAGCCCAGCCGUGCUCCAGCUCCUUCCACCUCCUUGGGAGAGCUCCCAGCGUAACCUUUGCAGCAGCAGCAGAUCAGCUCAGGUAUUGA